rnacentral:rRNA from 1 species
GACGAACGCUGGCGGCGUGCCUAAUACAUGCAAGUAGAACGCUGAAGGAGGAGCUUGCUUCUCUGGAUGAGUUGCGAACGGGUGAGUAACGCGUAGGUAACCUGCCUGGUAGCGGGGGAUAACUAUUGGAAACGAUAGCUAAUACCGCAUAAGAGUAGAUGUUGCAUGACAUUUGCUUAAAAGGUGCAAUUGCAUCACUACCAGAUGGACCUGCGUUGUAUUAGCUAGUUGGUGGGGUAACGGCUCACCAAGGCGACGAUACAUAGCCGACCUGAGAGGGGGAUCGGCCACACUGGGACUGAGACACGGCCCAGACUCCUACGGGAGGCAGCAGUAGGGAAUCUUAGGCAAUGGACGGAAGUCUGACCGAGCAAAGCCGCGUGAGUGAAGAAGGUUUUCGGAUCGUAAAGCUCUGUUGUAAGAGAAGAACGAGUGUGAGAGUGGAAAGUUCACAGUGUGACGGUAUCUUACCAGAAAGGGACGGCUAACUACGUG